UACGGGGGAGACAAGUGUUAUUCGUAUUGACUAGGUGUAAAGGGCACGUAGACGGUGUAUAAAGUUGAAAAUUAAAAUAAAAGUAUAAGACUUUAGAAUUUUUCAAAACUUAUAUCUCUUGAGUGUAUUAGAGAAAAGCGGUACUUUUAAGGUAGAAGUGAAAUUUGUUGAUCUUAAAAAGGACCACCAUUAGGCGAAGGCAGCUUUUUUGAAUACAACUGACGUUGAGGUGCGAAAGCAUGGGGAGCAAACAGG
rnacentral:rRNA from 1 species